ACCAAUAUUUCUUUUAAGGGUUUAUUAUUAGUGUCUCAUAUGUUUUUAAAACUAGAAAAAGAGAGCAGAUUUUGGGCAUGAUAAUACACAUAAUAUCAAAUUUAUUUUACACUACAAAAUCAUUAUUUUAGAAAGAGCUUUUUUAUUGGGUUUUGAAGGAUAGAUUAGGGAUUUUACACUAGUAUUAUGUUUGAAAUUUCCAGCCCUCUCUAGAGUUUAUUUACAUCAGAUAUUUAAGCAUUCUUGAAGGGUUUUUAUUGGAAGUAUUAGUUUUCAGCUUUGGAGAUUUAUUUACCAGUUAUUUGGGGUUCUUUGGAGGAGCUGAAACAUCACUUCCAGGCACUCUUCCAACAAAUAUUAAAGUAGGAUGGGUAUCUUUCAUGUUAUAAAAUAUUUUGAGGAAGCAUAAGCUUCAUGGUUGGGAAAAAAAGCGCCUAAGCCAUAUUCUUGACUCUUGAGUUGUGGAUGACAGAUGUGGUCAAUGGCACUCAGAGGCACAUGACUACUUUUCAUAUAUUUAUUAUUUUUUGUAUAAGGUAGUACAAUGUAUAAUAUUCUUGUAUUGAGUUAUCUCUUGGACAUGAGAGCCUAUGAUGUAAUUAUUAAUUAUCUCUUGUACAUGUGCUAACACCUGGAUUAAGCACUACUUUAUUGAGAUGUAAUGAAAUCAAUUAUAGACAUUGAGAUACUAUCUAUCAUUUUUU